rnacentral:rRNA from 1 species
AGCGUCUUAGUGGAAGCGUCUGGAAAGGCGCGCGAUACAGGGUGACAGCCCCGUACACAAAAGCGCAUGUGCUGUGAGCUCGAUGAGUAGGGCGGGACACGUGGUAUCCUGUCUGAAUAUGGGGGGACCAUCCUCCAAGGCUAAAUACUCCUGACUGACCGAUAGUGAACCAGUACCGUGAGGGAAAGGCGAAAAGAACCCCGGCGAGGGGAGUGAAAAAGAACCUGAAACCGUGUACGUACAAGCAGUGGGAGCCCCACCACCAAAGCAUUCUCUGGUGUUGAAGGCCCUGCAAAGCAGCAUCGCGGUGGCGGAGCGUCGUUUGCGACGCCCAACACACAAAACAAGCGGUGAGUGCUUUGGGGUGGGGUGACUGCGUACCUUUUGUAUAAUGGGUCAGCGACUUAUAUUCUGUAGCAAGGUUAACCGAAUAGGGGAGCCGGAGGGAAACCGAGUCUUAAYYGGGCGUUAAGUUGCAGGGUAUAGACCCGAAACCCGGUGAUCUAGCCAUGGGCAGGUUGAAGGUUGGGUAACACUAACUGGAGGACCGAACCGACUAAUGUUGAAAAAUUAGCGGAUGACCUGUGGCUGGGGGUGAAAGGCCAAUCAAACCGGGAGAUAGCUGGUUCUCCCCGAAAGCUAUUUAGGUAGCGCCUCGUGAAUUCAUCUCCGGGGGUAGAGCACUGUUUCGGCUAGGGGGCCAUCCCGGCUUACCAACCCGAUGCAAACUGCGAAUACCGGAGAAUGUUAUCACGGGAGACACACGGCGGGUGCUAACGUCCGUCGUGAAGAGGGAAACAACCCAGACCGCCAGCUAAGGUCCCAAAGUCAUGGUUAAGUGGGAAACGAUGUGGGAAGGCCCAGACAGCCAGGAUGUUGGCUUAGAAGCAGCCAUCAUUUAAAGAAAGCGUAAUAGCUCACUGGUCGAGUCGGCCUGCGCGGAAGAUGUAACGGGGCUAAACCAUGCACCGA